rnacentral:rRNA from 1 species
GAUGAACGCUGGCGGCGUGCCUAAUACAUGCAAGUCGAGCGAACAGACGAGGAGCUUGCUCCUCUGACGUUAGCGGCGGACGGGUGAGUAACACGUGGAUAACCUACCUAUAAGACUGGGAUAACUUCGGGAAACCGGAGCUAAUACCGGAUAAUAUAUUGAACCGCAUGGUUCAAUAGUGAAAGACGGUUUUGCUGUCACUUAUAGAUGGAUCCGCGCCGCAUUAGCUAGUUGGUAAGGUAACGGCUUACCAAGGCAACGAUGCGUAGCCGACCUGAGAGGGUGAUCGGCCACACGGGAACUGAGACACGGUCCAGACUCCUACGGGAGGCAGCAGUAGGGAAUCUUCCGCAAUGGGCGAAAGCGUGACGGAGCAACGCCGCGUGAGUGAUGAAGGUCUUCGGAUCGUAAAACUCUGUUAUUAGGGAAGAACAAAUGUGUAAGUAACUAUGCACGUCUUGACGGUACCUAAUCAGAAAGCCACGGCUAACUACGUG